rnacentral:rRNA from 1 species
GUAGGAGGCGAGCGUUGUCCGGAUUUACUGGGCGUAAAGCGCGCGCAGGCGGCAGUGCAAGUAAGGUGUGAAAUCUCCCUGCUCAACGGGGAGGGUGCACUUUAGACUGCACAGCUCGAGGUCGGUAGAGGGGGGUGGAAUUGCUGGUGUAGCGGUGAAAUGCGUAGAGAUCAGCAGGAACACCCGUGGCGAAGGCGGCCCCCUGGGCCGUACCUGACGCUGAGGCGCGAAGGCUAGGGGAGCGAACGGGAUUAGAUACCCCGGUAGUCCUAGCAGUAAACGAUGGCUACUAGGUGUGGGGGGUGUUGACCCCUUCCGUGCCGAAGCUAACGCAUUAAGUAGCCCGCCUGGGGAGUACGGUCGCAAGACUAAA